rnacentral:misc_RNA from 1 species
GAUGAAGAACGCAGCGAAAUGCGAUACUUGGUGUGAAUUGCAGAAUCCCGUGAACUAUCGAGUCUUUGAACGCAAGUUGCGCCCGAAGCCAUUAGGCCGAGGGCACGCCUGCCUGGGCGUCACACGUCGUUGCCCCCCCAUCUACUCCUUCGGGAUUGCGGGGGGCGGAUGAUGGCCUCCCGUGCGCCUCGUCGCGCGGUUGGCAUAAAUGCCAAGUCCUCGGCGACGCACGCCACGACAAUCGGUGGUUGCGAAACCUCGGUUGCCCGUCGUGUGCGGUCGUCGCGCAUCGAGGGCUCGAAAAAAUUGCCGGGCUCCGGCUCGGCUUUCAACGCGACCCCAGGUCAGGCGGGGUUACCCGCUGAAUUUAAGCAUAUCAAUAAGCGGAGGA